CCGUUGCAAGGGACUCCGAAGAGCUGUGGCAAGGGGUGAAAAGCCAAUCUAACCUGGAGAUAGCUGGUCUUCUGCGAAACCCGUUUUAGCGGGUCGCCCAUUUAUUGAAAUUAAAUUCGUUACUAGACGGUACGGCACUGGAAGCCACGCAGCUUUUGCUGCAUAAUCGGGGGGCUGUCAUGGCUCUAUCGAUGGCUUCUAACCCCGGAAAUGUAUAGUAUACAAUGAUGGGCAAUCAGACGUAUCGUGAUAAGGCGAUUCGUCAAAAGGGCAACAGCCCAGAACAGGUGUGAAGGUCCCUAACAAGCUACUGAGUGAACACAAGGCAGUCCUCUCCAGUGUCUCUCCACAAAGUGGGCUUGGAAGCAGCCACCUUUUAGCGAUAGCGUAACAGCUCAGUGGUCUGAGCCUCCCUGUAAAAAGGGAAUAUUGCCUGGUGAGGGCGCCAAAAAUGUAACGGGUCUAUAGUAGUUGUCUCUCUGUUCCAGCUUUGGAUAUGGAGGGAGUGGCAGUUUCUUCACUGUCUCACCGAAACCCUGUCCUAGAUGUCAAAUUCUAGGGGUAGCAGAAUACCCAGCAAAUGGAAUGAAGCUUGCUCAUUGAGCCGGUGGACAUAGCUGGGCUAAGAAUGCUGACAUGAGUAGCCUAAAAGGAGGGUAAUUCCCUCUUCGCCGAAAGCAGAAGGGUUUCAUUUGUAAGGUCUAUACCUAGAUGAUUAAAGCAGCGGCCUCUAAGGUUCAGAGUAACAAAUUAGUUCCGAUGAGUAACUCUUCUAUAGGGCAGUAACCUUCCUUAUAAGUUUACCUUCAAGUAAUUAGAGGUAUACUUCAAAGAGUAAGGUUCGGGAAAGAGCCCUACAGAAUCAAUCUUAAAACCGUACCCUAAACCGACACAGGUCUGCAAGUAGAGCAUACUAAGGCGUAGAGAUAAUCGUCUUGAAGGAACUCGGCAAAAUGACCCCGUAACUUCGGGAGAAGGGGUGCCACUAAUAAGUGGCGGCACUAAACAGGGGGGCGCGACUGUUUACUUAAAACACCGGACUCUGCUAACACUAGCGUGGAUGUAUAGAGU
rnacentral:rRNA from 2 species